UUUAUCUUGUUAGAUUUAUUGCAACGAGCCAUAUUUCUCUUUUUUACAAAAUUUAUUUAGAAAGUUACAUAUGCACAUAUGGUAAAAAGUUCAAAAAGUGGUACCAAAAGAUAUAACAGUGAAAAUAAGGCUGGUUCUUGUUUUUAUCCACUGAGGCAAAUACUGAGUUUAUUUUCAAAGGUAUUCUGUGUGGGCACAAUCACGCUUGCAUAUGUUAAAAAAUACAAAAUGGUAUCAUACUUGUUCCUCUGCACUUUCUUUUUUUUCUAUUUAACAACAUAUCUUAGAGGUAGUCCUAUUUCAAUUUAGCUAGACCCAUUUCAUUCUGUUUAAUGGCUACAUUUGUUUUUCAUUGUGAGACUGUGCCGUAAUUUAUUUAAUCAGUGCCAUAUUGAAAGACAUUUGGAUCGUUUCCCAGCAUUUGCAACUAUAAUCAAGGUUACAUUAAAUAUCCUGUUACAUGCAGGAAGAUACUUUAUUCACAUGCAUGGGUAUAUCAGUAGGUUAAAACUCAAAUACAGAAACUGCCAGGUCAAGAGAUACACAUCUUAAAGUUUAAUAGAUAUUGACCCUGUUUCUAAAAAGAAAGAUUCCUUCCAGCGUGUCUACACACAUUUGUCUGCUCCUCUGUCUUCUGAUUCUUGUCCCAUGGUGUUAUUUUAGGCUGAAAUAAUGGAAUAUGGUGGCUCAAAAAACUUAUUCCCAUAGGAUCUCUGGGAAAGCUUUGGGUCUUGCCACAUGGUCCCCAGUUGAACACAGGAAGUACUUGGCACUGUUGUUGCAACCCAAAUCAUCACUUUAAUGAGCGUGCUGGAGGAGCGUGGAAUGUUUCCACAAGCAUGUGUACUGAAGAAUUCCAUGCUGCAGGCGAAAUGAUUUAUAUCCCUGGGAGUUCCCAGUAAAAAAAUGUGCACAGUACCCUUUAAUUUGAUCUGCUUUCCCUGUAGCACCUAAAUAUUUAGGGCAAAUAGAAAAUAGUUCUGAUUUACAUCUCUAUAAAAAUUUUAAACAACCUAACAAGACAUUUGAUCAUGAAAUUGCCUGAAAUAAUGUUGGCACUAGUCAGCCAUAUUUCUUCAAAAUGGCCUGUAACUUCAGUGCAAACUCCCAAACAUGGAUUUUUUUUUCCUGCUAAUAACAGUCUUAUUAAUAAAAGAAUGAUUUUCUUUACUGAUCCUCAGCAGCUGUGUUCCGGGUGUCUUUGUUCAAUAAAGGUAGAGAUAAUAACUGUCAGUGGAAAGAAAAUGUGCUGAGGUUCCCAGGAGAAGUGGUGGAAACAAAUCUUUUAUUAAAUCAUAUCAAAUUGUGUUUCUCGUUUACUUUUUCCAUUUUGUAAGUCACAGUCAUAUCUGCUAGUUUUUCGGAAACCUUGGCUCACAUUUGUCAAAAAAACUUGGCUUGGCAUUCUUGAGGUUAAUGCUGCGUGAUCAAUCGGUGAUAAAUUUGACAUAAUUAACUGUUGUAAUGGCAUUUCUGAGUCUGUUUCUCUUCUUUACUCCUGCUGAAAUCAUCUGAGAUUAGUUAACUUCUGAAUAUUUCUUCAGAUGUGCUGUGGAUGCCU
rnacentral:lncRNA from 1 species